rnacentral:rRNA from 1 species
UAUAAUCCCUGCGGGGGAAAGAUUUAUCGCUAUUAGAUGAGCCUAUGUUAGAUUAGCUAGUUGGUAGGGUAAAGGCCUACCAAGGCAGUGAUCUAUAGCUGGUCUGAGAGGAUGAUCAGCCACACUGGAACUGAGAUACGGUCCAGACUCCUACGGGAGGCAGCAGUGGGGAAUAUUGGACAAUGGGCGCAAGCCUGAUCCAGCUAUGCCGCGUGAGUGAGGAAGGCCUUAGGGUUGUAAAACUCUUUCAGUGGGGAAGAUAAUGCCGGUACCCACAGAAGAAGUCCCGGCAAACUCCGUGCCAGCAGCCGCGGUAAUACGGAGGGGGCAAGCGUUGUUCGGAAUUAUUGGGCGUAAAGGGCAUGUAGGCGGUUCGGUAAGUUAAAGGUGAAAUGCCAGGGCUUAACCCUGGAGCUGCUUUUAAUACUGCCGGACUCGAGUCCGGGAGAGGAUAGCGGAAUUCCUAGUGUAGAGGUGAAAUUCGUAGAUAUUAGGAGGAACACCAGUGGCGAAGGCGGCUAUCUGGUCCGGUACUGACGCCGAGGUGCGAAAGCGUGGGGAGCAAACAGGAUUAGAUACCCUGGUAGUCCACGCUGUAAACGAUGAGUGCUGAAUGUGGGGACGUUUUGUCUCUGUGUUGUAGCUAACGCGUUAAGCACUCCGCCUGGGGACUACGGUCGCAAGACUAAAACUCAAAGGAAUUGACGGGGACCCGCACAAGCGGUGGAGCAUGUGGUUUAAUUCGAUGCAACGCGAAGAACCUUACCACUUCUUGACAUGGAGAUUAGAUCCUUCUUAACGGAAGGG